AUUGAACGCUGGCGGCAUGCCUUACACAUGCAAGUCGAACGGUAACAGGUCUUCGGAUGCUGACGAGUGGCGCACGGGUGAGUAAUACAUCGGAACGUGCCCGAUCGUGGGGGAUAACGGAGCGAAAGCUUUGCUAAUACCGCAUACGAUCUACGGAUGAAAGCAGGGGACCGCAAGGCCUCUCGCGGACGGAGCGGCCGAUGGCAGAUUAGGUAGUUGGUGGGAUAAAAGCUUACCAAGCCGACGAUCUGUAGCUGGUCUGAGAGGACGACCAGCCACACUGGGACUGAGACACGGCCCAGACUCCUACGGGAGGCAGCAGUGGGGAAUUUUGGACAAUGGGCGAAAGCCUGAUCCAGCCAUGCCGCGUGCAGGAUGAAGGCCUUCGGGUUGUAAACUGCUUUUGUACGGAACGAAAAGACUCUUUCUAAUAAAGAGGGUCCAUGACGGUACCGUAAGAAUAAGCACCGGCUAACUACGUG
rnacentral:rRNA from 1 species